GUCCAGCCGCCGCGGUAAUACCGGCAGCCCAAGUGAUGGCCGCUGUUAUUGGGCCUAAAGCGUCCGUAGCUGGCCGCGCAAGUCCGUCGGGAAAUCCGCCCGCUCAACGGGCGGCCGUCCGGCGGAACCUAUGUGGCUUGGGACCGGGAGGCCUGAGGGGUACGAUCGGGGUAGGAGUGAAAUCCUAUAAUCCCGCACGGACCACCGAUGGCGAAAGCACUUCGAGAAAACGGAUCCGACAGUGAGGGACGAAAGCCAGGGUCUCCAACCGGAUUAGAUACCCCGGUAGUCC
rnacentral:rRNA from 1 species